UAUAAAUACACUAUAACAGAGAGCUAUGAAUGAGCCUCUCAUUCCACUCCACCUUUCGUACGUGUAUAUGGUAUCAGAGCAAAUAUGUUAUCGAUUUACUCGAGCGGACUGAUUUCUUAGGCUGCAAACCAGUGGCCUCCCUGCAUCCAAAAAAAGACUCGAUCGUACCGGUAGUCCGUUGGCAGACCCUCACCUUUAUCGCAGCAUAGUAGGGGCCUUGCAGUACAUUACUCUCACCAGCCC
rnacentral:lncRNA from 1 species